GACGAACGCUGGCGGCGUGCUUAAAACAUGCAAGUCGAACGGACUUCUCAUGAAGCUUGCGAUUGAGAAGUUAGUGGCGGACGGGUGAGUAACGCGUGGGCAACCUGCCCCUGAGCCCGGGAUAACAGUUCGAAAGGACUGCUAAGACCGGAUAUACUUGCGGGGAAGCAUUUCACUGCAAGGAAAGGGAACGCUCAGGGAUGGGCCCGCGUCCCAUUAGCUAGUUGGUGAGGUAACGGCCCACCAAGGCGACGAUGGGUAGCCGGCCUGAGAGGGUGAACGGCCACACUGGGACUGAGACACGGCCCAGACUCCUACGGGAGGCAGCAGUUGGGAAUCUUCGGCAAUGGGCGCAAGCCUGACCGAGCAACGCCGCGUGAGUGAUGAAGGUUUUCAGAUUGUAAAGCUCUGUCUUCCGGGACGAUAAUGACGGUACCGGAGGAGGAAGCCACGGCUAACUACGUG
rnacentral:rRNA from 1 species